rnacentral:tRNA from 1 species
GCAUUGGUGGUUCAGGGGGUAGAAUUUUCACCCUCCAUGUGGGAGACCUGGGUUCAAUUCCUGGCCAAUGCG